rnacentral:rRNA from 1 species
UACGUAGGGGUCUAGCGUUGUCCGGAAUCAUUGGGCGUAAAGCGCGUGUAGGCGGCUUUGCAAGUCGGGUGUGAAAGCCCUCGGCUCAACCGAGGAAGUGCGCCCGAAACUGCAGAGCUUGAGUGCCGGAGAGGAUGGCGGAAUUCCCCAAGUAGAGGUGAAAUUCGUAGAUAUGGGGAGGAACACCGGUGGCGAAGGCGGCCAUCUGGACGGUAACUGACGCUGAGACGCGAAAGCGUGGGGAGCAAACAGG